AUUGAACGCUGGCGGCAGGCCUAACACAUGCAAGUCGAGCGGAUGAAGGGAGCUUGCUCCCUGAUUUAGCGGCGGACGGGUGAGUAAUGCCUAGGAAUCUGCCUGGUAGUGGGGGAUAACGUUCCGAAAGGAACGCUAAUACCGCAUACGUCCUACGGGAGAAAGCAGGGGACCUUCGGGCCUUGCGCUAUCAGAUGAGCCUAGGUCGGAUUAGCUAGUUGGUGAGGUAAUGGCUCACCAAGGCGACGAUCCGUAACUGGUCUGAGAGGAUGAUCAGUCACACUGGAACUGAGACACGGUCCAGACUCCUACGGGAGGCAGCAGUGGGGAAUAUUGGACAAUGGGCGAAAGCCUGAUCCAGCCAUGCCGCGUGUGUGAAGAAGGUCUUCGGAUUGUAAAGCACUUUAAGUUGGGAGGAAGGGCAUUAACCUAAUACGUUAGUGUUUUGACGUUACCGACAGAAUAAGCACCGGCUAACUUCGUGCCAGCAGCCGCGGUAAUACGAAGGGUGCAAGCGUUAAUCGGAAUUACUGGGCGUAAAGCGCACGCAGG
rnacentral:rRNA from 1 species